rnacentral:rRNA from 1 species
CCUACGGGAGGCAGCAGUGGGGGAUAUUGCACAAUGGGGGGAACCCUGAUGCAGCGACGCCGCGUGGGUGAAGAAGCGCCUCGGCGCGUAAAGCCCUGUCAGCAGGGAAGAAAAUGACGGUACCUGAAGAAGAAGCCCCGUCUAACUACGUGCCAGCAGCCGCGGUAAUACGUAGGGGGCAAGCGUUAUCCGGAUUUACUGGGUGUAAAGGGGGCGCAGACGGCGAUGCAAGCCAGGAGUGAAAGCCCGGGGGCCAACCCCGGGACUGCUCUUGGAACUGGGUGGCUGGAGUGCAGGAGGGGCAGGCGGAAUGCCUGGUGUAGCGGUGAAAUGCGUAGAUAUCAGGAGGAACACCGGUGGCGAAGGCGGCCUGCUGGACUGCAACUGACGUUGAGGCCCGAAAGCGUGGGGAGCAAACAGGAUUAGAUACCCUGGUAGUC